UCGAAUGUUUUGCUGAAUGUGGCAGAGAUAAGUACUGUUUAAGUGUUCAACUCUAUCCUGAUGGGCAAACCUGUGUCACUCUCAGAGAACGUUUUAAAAACGUUGAUGUGACGUCAGCUGCUGUCCCUGGGUAUCAGCUUUUCCAGACUGAUAAACCUGUGUCUACGAUUGGGGCUGACUGUGAUCUGGACGUGGACUGCAAGUCUCUGCACAACUCCAACUGUCACGAGGGUUCAUGUAGGUGCGACGUUGGGCAUCACCCUGAUGGAAACACAUGUCGCAAAGACCCAGUGUCAUGUGCAUCAUCUGUCGGCUACACACAUGAUGUUGGGAGUGGCCUGUGCUACAGGAUAGAAACACAAGUGAAACAGAACUGGGCUGAUGCUGAGAGUAGCUGCACCAUCAGCCUCGGACAUCUAGUUAGAUCUGACACCAAGAGCAAACAGGAUAAACUGAAGGUGCUUCUGGAACAACUUGCGUUAGAGUCAUUUUGGAUUGGCGCCCGAUAUGAUGAUGAUGAGAAGGAGUGGGUGUGGCUUGACAACACCACCGCAUCUCUUCUGUGGGGCCCUGGACAACCUAGUGGAGAUGGCAACUGUGCAGACCUUCA